ACAAUCUGGACUCUGCAAAUAGCAAAGUCUCACAAUCAAGAAUGAGAUUCUGCAGCCAAGAAGAAAAACUCUCCUAGGGCAUUUAGGAUGGAGCCUCUCAAGAAAACAAGAAAAAUGUUCUUCAUAUUUUAUCAGCCAAGCAGAAAAUCCAGAGAGGAAAGUUUUAUUAAGACUGAAAAUUGUUGGAAUGAUACAGGUCUUUGCUACAAUCUAGUGGUGAGCUGCAUUUCCUGACUCAGCCGACUUCCCAGCAGGAAUUCCAGUCUGAUGAAGGAUCAGCACAAGGAAGCCCCACUGAGAGACACACUGUUACACUAGCAACAUUGUAAGUGUACAACAGCCACUUGUGGCCACUGGCUCCUGUAUCGGACAGCACAGACCUAGAACAUUUACAUCACUACAAAAAUUCUGUUGGAUGGCACAGUUCCAGAUGAAACAACUAAAGAGACAGUUAUUACAGAUGCCAUUAAGAAUAUUUAUGAUUCACGGUAAGACUUCAAAAUAUCAACAUUCACAAAAGUCUGGAAGAAGGUGACAACCAACCGUCACAGAUGAGGAACUCAAGACUUUUGUACAGGAAGUAACUGCAGAUGUGGUGGAAACAUCAAGAGAACUAGAAACAUAACCUGAAGAUGUAACUGCAUUGCAGCAACUUCAUGAUAAACUUUUACAGAUGAAGAACUGCUUUUUAUGAGUUAGCAGAGAAAGUGGUUUCUUAAGAUGGAAUCUACUCCUGGUGAAUAUGCUAUGAGGAUUGUUGAAAUGACAAGGAUUUAGAAUAUUACAUAAACUAAAUUGACAAAGCAAUGUUAGAGUUUGAGAGGACUGACUCUAGUUUUGAAAGAAGUUCUACUGUGGGUCAAAUGCUACUACACAGCAUCACAUGCUACAGAGAAAUCAUUAAUGAAAGACAGAGUCAACCAAUGUGGCAACCUUCACUGUUGUCUUAUAGUAUGAAACUGCCAUAGCCACCCAACCUUCAACAACCACCACCCUGAUCAGUAAGCAGCCAUCAACAUCAAGGCAAGACCAGCCAAAAGAUUAGGGCCUGCUAAAAGUUCAGAUGAUGGUUAUCAUUUUGCAGCAAUAAAGUAUUUUUAAAUUAAGUAUGUACAUUUUUUUAGACAUAAUGCUAUUGUACACUUAACAGACUGUAGUAUAAAUGUAACUGCUCUAUGUAUUGGGAAACCAAAAAAUUCACUUGCUUAAUUGCCAUCUUUGCUUUACUGCAGUGGUGUGGAACUGAACCUGCAGUAUCUGAGGUAUGCCUGUAGUCUCCUAACUGGUCUGUUGUGGGUCUUGUGGUCUUCCAUUCAUUCUCUAUAGGCUAUACUAUUUCCAAAGUGAUCUCUAAUCCUUUGCCUCAACCUCUUCAAAGAUAGUCAACCACACCACGAUCUGUCCUUAACUUUCCAGUUUCCCAUACUAACACUAUAAACUUAGAAUUUUGUCUUUCAGAACACUUCAAACUCUAGGUUAGCAGCCUUCAUCUGGCCCCUGCUCACUUGUCUGACCUAAUCCUCAAAAAACAUCACAGUCACACUAAACUGCUUGUAGAGCCCCAGCUAGUCAGUUUGUAUUUAACAGCAUUUGCCUUUGAAAGUGCAGUUCUCUUGUCUAAAAUGGUCUGCUUCUAUGACUACCCAACUUCUUAAAAAUCAAUUCAAAUAUCACUUAAUCUAGGAAGCCUUUUUUAAAAAAUAACUCCCCACCCAUACUGCUUCUGAUGCAAAUGCUCUCCUCAAUGCUCCUCUGCUUACCUCUAUUCUAAUACCUACUACAGUGCACAUAACUGCUAGUUUGCUAGUCUACUAUAAACUUUUGGAAGGCAGGGAUGGUUUAUUUGACUUUAUUUCUCCAGUGAGUAGAUUUGGGAUGAAUUAUGAAAGUCAAACGCAAGAGAGUUUGAUAAGCCACUGGCUUCUGAUCAAAAUGCAGAGAAUAAAGAAAAAAGAGAAACUGAGGAUGAUUCUCAGGUUUUGGGCCUGAAAAUUGGGUAGAUGGUUGAACCAUUAAAUAAGUGAGAAAGACUGAGAUACCUACUGGAUAUUCCAACAGACAGAUCAUACAGGCAAUCUUACAUUCAAGGGGAAAAGGAACAGGCUAGAUAUAUAAGUUUAAGUGUCAUAAGCACAUAGAUGGAAUCUAAAGCCCUGGGACUGGAUAUUACUUAGGGAGAUCAUGUAGAUAAAGUCCAGGUACUAUAUUUUAGUUCUGAGAAGGAAAGCACAAGAAAGAGGAAGAAAACUAGAAGAAUGAAGUAUUUAGGAAGUUAAAGAAACAAGUGUUUUAGGAGGAGGGAGUGCUCAACUGUGUUAAGUGCCAAAAGGACAAACCACUGGAUUUGGCAACAUGGAAGUCACCAGAGAUCUCGACAAGAACAGUUUUAGUACAGUAUUAAAUAUAGAAGCCAAAAUGUGUGAAGGUAGACAAAAGGUACAUACUUCCAGUUAUAAGUAAGUGUGGAUGUAACACACAACAUGGUAACUGUAGUUAACAAUUAUGUAUUGUACAUUUGAAAGUUGCUGAGAGUAGACCUUAAAAGUUCUUAUAACAAGAAGAAAAUAUUGCCUACGUGAGGUAAUGGAAGAUAGUGAAACUUAUUUUGGUAAUCAUUUCUAAUAUAUACAUAUGUAAAUCAUUUUGUUGUACAUCUUAAACAUAGACAAUGUUGUAUGUCAACUAUAUCUCAAUAAAACGGGGGAUAAAAGCCAGACUGGAGUGUGCCAAAGGAAAAAUGGGAGGAAAGAAAGCAGAGACAUCAAGUAGAGACAAAAAUUGUUUUAUUGUGAAAAGAUCAGAGAAAAUGGCACAACAGUUGAAAGGGGUGAGGGAUCGAGGCAGGGAGAAUUACAGAAGUAAAUCCUUGUAUUACACUUUCACAUGCUGUUGAAAUUAGUUUUUCAGUUUUUUCCAAUUACAUCAGUUCCUUAAGAACAGAAUUUUCUAUUUUCUAACUCCUCUUUGCAUGUCAUAGGUUCUUAAUAAAUUUUGUACAAUAUCUAGAACCUAAACUCUUAAGUCCUGGUUCAAGAAAUGCACUGGAGUGGCAGGAGCAGAAUUUGGAAUUAGACUCAAGUUUAAAUACCAGAUUUUUCACUAACAAGUUAGGCAGCCUUAGACACGUUACUUUACCUUUCAGAGCCUCAGGCUUCUUAUAGGCACAAAAUAUUUAGUUUACUGAAAUGCUGUGAUAAUAUGAGAGUAAGUCACUUGGUACAGUGUCUUACCCAAUGAUACUAUUCAAUAUUAUAAUUAUUGCUAUUAUUUUCAAUGGCAGGUAAGUAUAAUCAUGUGUAUACCAUACAUACAUACAUGUAAAGCAUGUAUAUACUGUAGAGAAUUGAAACUAUUUUGAAUUUAAGAGUUUUGCAUUACCUCUAGUCAACUGGUAUGUCAAAACAAACACAAAGCAAAAGAUAGUGAGAAGGCAAAUGGU